UGUGGGGGCAAUGAAUGAAGCGAAUAGAUUUUCGUUCAUUUUGGUUCUCAGGGUUUAUUGUAGUUUUUUAUUUUUAUGGAUUUUGGUGAGGGGGGGAGUAUAUAGGAGUUGAAGAUUAGUCCACCAUAGUCGGUGUAUUCGUAGGUUCAAUAUCAUUGAUGGCCGAUUGAUUUGAUAGUAAAGGAGGGGUCGUUGACCUCG
rnacentral:lncRNA from 1 species